CUUUCUUCUUGACAUGGAUCAAAGCUGUUUUUAUCAUUGCCUUGGCAUUUCCUCAUUAUUCUGAAACUUCUUUUGAACCUUUACCAGAAAUUCGUCAAGUGAAUGAUCCUUCAAAAGUAACAAACAGUUUUAUUAUUACGCUAAGUUCAAGAAACAGAAUCUUGCC